UGUAUGUACAACACACAAACAAAAAAUUGCGAGAGAAAACAAAAUAAUAUCAUGCAGAAUGUGAACGAGAAAACAAAUGCCCCCGCUAAAACUUUUGCAAUUUUCCAAUUAAAAAGGAGCAAAACUCUAGAAAGAAAAAUGAAACAGUUCUCAAAUUUGAACUCUUUACGCGUUUUGUGGUUUAAUGGAUUGUGUACGAGUUUCAUAAAACUGGGGUCGGGCUAUCAGGUGAAGUCUCUUCGAUCGAUGACCAUUCAUGCGUUUGUUGAAUGGCUGAUCUGUCUCGCCAACAUACUGCAUGCCAUAUCGACACUGAAGAAGGUAUACAACAAAUACUACACCGACAAGUCCGAUCUCUCAGUAAGUCGUCAUUUUUGAUAACCUGAGCACACCAAAGCUGAUCUCAAAAACCUUACCAUCACACUCAUAGACCACAACGAGGGUUGAUCAAAGGCCGAAAUACUUGCUCAGGAAAGAUUUUGUAUAAGAAAGCUAAGGACAGUUUCCCCAGAGGGCAUUAAUGAAAAAACUAUAGAAUGAGUCCCUCAUUUUCCCUACCAUCACUCAUUUUCCUGUCAUCACUCAUUUUCCUGACAUCACUUGUUUCCAGUUACUCCGGCUUCCUUACUUGACUCUUACAGUUUUAAGGGAGUUUUUUUUAAAUUAUACUAGUUUAAAUGAUAUGAUUCUUUUCAUUUGAUAGGGAUGUACAAGUACGCUGUCACGUUCAAUUAUUUACCCUCAUCAAAAUUUAACAUUAUUAUUUUCUUAUCAUUAUCAAACUGCUACGUAUUUGUGAAGAUUAAAUACGCAACCUCUGUCUUUAUAACUGUAUGCGGUGAGGGAAGUUAAAGGGUAAUAAAAAGGCCAAAAGUAGGAAAUUCGAAAAAAAAAUAAUAAUACAAUCUUCGGCUGGAUAGCCUAAGCUGCAUGCGGGAUAAGUUUUGAUAUUAAUCCAUUUAUUAUGCCCCAUUUAUGGGCAUUAUGUUUUCUGGUUUGUGGGUCCGUCUGUUCGUUCGUUCGUCCGUCCCUUCUUCCGUUCGUCCGUCUGUCCCGCUUCAGGUUUAAGUUUUUGGUCGAUGUAGUUUUGAUGAAGUUGAAGUCCAAUCAACUUGAAACUUAUUAAACAUGUUCCUUAUGAUAUGAUCUUUCUAAUUGUAAUGCUAAAUUAGAGAUUUUACCCCAUUUUCACGGUCCACUGAACAUAGAACAUGAUAUUACUGACAAUGGGGACUGGUAAAUCUGAGAGAAAAAUUAAUUGAAUCAGAAGCAAUGUUUCUUAAUCAUUGGUUUGAAAUUGCUGGUUUCCAUCAAACAUCAAAAUUUAUGCAAAUAUUUAUUCAGCCUCACUUUAGAUUCAGAGUCAACUGGCACUGAAUCGAUCACGUGGUAUUUGUUCCCCACCUGGCCCUUGCGACGCGCAGCUAGAUUGGGUCGGGAUGCCAGGCUACAUUAAAGACCGACCUCACGUCAAUCUCAAAUGGAUGUUUUUUUAGCUCACCUGGCCCAAAGGGCCAAGUGAGCUUUUCUCAUCACUUUGCGUCCGUCGUCCGUCGUCCGUCGUCGUCCGGCGUUAGCUUUUACAAAAAUCUUCUCCUCUGAAACUACUGGGCCAAAUCAAACCAAACUUGGCCACAAUCAUCAUUGGGGUAUCUAGUUUAAAAAAUGUGUGGCGUGACCCGGUCAACCAUACAAGAUGGCCGCCACGGCUAAAAAUAGAACAUAGGGGUAAAAUGCAGUUUUUGGCUUAUAACUCAAAAACCAAAGCAUUUAGAGCAAAUCUGACAGGGGUAAAAAUAUUUAUCAGGUCAAGAUCUAUCUGCCCUGAAAUUUUCAGAUGAAUCGGUCAAUCGGUUGUUGGGUUGC
rnacentral:lncRNA from 1 species